rnacentral:rRNA from 1 species
UACGGGGGGGGCAAGCGUUGUUCGGAAUUACUGGGCGUAAAGGGCGCGUAGGCGGCCUGUUAAGUCACACGUGAAAUCCCUCGGCUCAACCGGGGAACUGCGUGUGAUACUGGCGGGCUUGAAUUCGGGAGAGGGAUGUGGAAUUCCAGGUGUAGCGGUGAAAUGCGUAGAUAUCUGGAGGAAUACCGGUGGCGAAGGCGGCAAUCCUGGACCAUUACUGACGCUGAGGCGCGAAAGCUAGGGGAGCAAACGGG